rnacentral:antisense_RNA from 1 species
UGGCAGCGGCCUUCCUCCCGGGGGUGAGAGCUCCACAGGGUUCCGCCCCGUCCUGGCGACGACGCCUGAGGGGACUCUGUGCUAAGGCUCUGUCGGGCAGGCCGGGCUUCCGGGAGGACCUGGUCUGGAUGGGCCACCGCUGGGUGCCUGAGCUCUGCACGGAGCCUGCAGGCUUUGUUUAACUUAUAAAGAAGUGCUCAGAGCAGUCAAGAAGAACAUGCCCCAAGUUAUUCGUCAGUGAAGCGGAAAUUGUGGUGUUCUUGU